GAUGAAGAACGUAGCGAAAUGCGAUAAGUAAUGUGAAUUGCAGAAUUCAGUGAAUCAUCGAAUCUUUGAACGCACAUUGCGCCCCUUGGUAUUCCGAGGGGCAUGCCUGUUCGAGCGUCAUUAUAACCCUCAAGCUCAGCUUGGUGUUGGGGCCUGCUGCACUGGCAGCCCUUAAAAUCAGUGGCGGCGCCAUCUGGCUCUAAGCGUAGUAAUUCUUCUCGCUAUGGAGUCCUGGUGGAUGCUUGCCAUCAACCCCCAAUUUUUCUAUGGUUGACCUCGGAUCAGGUAGGGAUACCCGCUGAACUUAAGCAUAUCUAAGCGGAGGA
rnacentral:misc_RNA from 1 species